AGAGUUUGAUCCUGGCUCAGGACGAACGCUGGCGGCGUGCUUAACACAUGCAAGUCGAGCGGAAAGGCCCUUCGGGGUACUCGAGCGGCGAACGGGUGAGUAACACGUGAGUAACCUGCCCUUGGCUCUGGGAUAGCUCCGGGAAACCGGAAUUAAUACCGGAUAUGACUUCGGCCGACAUCGGCUGCGGUGGAAAGAUUUAUCGGCCAGGGAUGGGCUCGCGGCCUAUCAGCUUGUUGGUGGGGUAACGGCCUACCAAGGCGACGACGGGUAGCCGGCCUGAGAGGGCGACCGGCCACACUGGGACUGAGACACGGCCCAGACUCCUACGGGAGGCAGCAGUGGGGAAUAUUGCGCAAUGGGCGAAAGCCUGACGCAGCGACGCCGCGUGGGGGAUGAAGGCCUUCGGGUUGUAAACCCCUUUC
rnacentral:rRNA from 1 species